AGCAGCCGCGGUAAUUCCAGCUCCAAUAGCGUAUAUUAAAGUUGUUGCAGUUAAAAAGCUCGUAGUUGAAUUUCGGGGUCAAUAAGUUGGUCAUGCCAAUGGUAUGCACUGGCUUUAUUGAUUCCUACCUCUUGACGAACUGUGAUGCCAUUAAUUUGGUGUUGCAAGGAAUCAGGACUGUUACCUUGAAAAAUUAGAGUGUUUAAAGCAAGCUUACGCUUGAAUACAUUAGCAUGGAAUAAUGAAAUAGGAUGUUUGAUCCUAUUUUGUUGGUUUCUAGGAUCGACGUAAUGAUUAAUAGGGAUAGUUGGGGGCAUUAGUAUUCAAUUGUCAGAGGUGAAAUUCUUGGAUUUAUUGAAGACUAACUACUGCGAAAGCAUUUGCCAAGGAUGUUUUCAUUAAUCAAGAACGAAAGUUAGGGGAUCGAAGACGAUCAGAUACCGUCGUAGUCUUAACCAUAAACUAUG
rnacentral:misc_RNA from 1 species